rnacentral:rRNA from 1 species
AACACAUGCAAGUCGCACGGGCAGGGGUAACUCUGUCAGUGGCGGACGGGUGAGUAACGCGUAGGUAUCUAUCUUUGGGUGGGGGACAACCACGGGAAACUGUGGCUAAUACCGCAUGACGACUGAGGUCCAAAGCUUGCAAGAGCGCCUGGAGAGGAGCCUGCGUCUGAUUAGCUUGUUGGUGGGGUAAUGGCCUACCAAGGCGACGAUCGGUAGCUGGUCUGAGAGGAUGAUCAGCCACAUUGGGACUGAGACACGGCCCAAACUCCUACGGGAGGCAGCAGUGGGGAAUAUUGGACAAUGGGCGCAAGCCUGAUCCAGCAAUGCCGCGUGGGUGAAGAAGGUCUUCGGAUUGUAAAGCCCUUUCGACGGGGACGAUGAUGACGGUACCCGUAGAAGAAGCCCCGGCUAACUUCGUGCCAGCAGCCGCGGUAAUACCAAGGGGGCU